rnacentral:misc_RNA from 1 species
AAAUGCGAUAAGUAAUGUGAAUUGCAGAAUUCAGUGAAUCAUCGAAUCUUUGAACGCACAUUGCGCCCGCCAGUAUUCUGGCGGGCAUGCCUGUUCGAGCGUCAUUUCAACCAUCAAGCCCCCGGCUUGUGUUGGGGACCUGCGGCUGCCCGCAGGCCCUGAAAAACAGUGGCGGGCUCGCUGUCACACCGAGCGUAGUAGCAUACAUUCACGCUCAGGGCGUGCUGCGGGUUCCGGCCGUUAAACGACCUUCAUAACCCAAGGUUGACCUCGGAUCAGGUAGGAAGACCCGCUGAACUUAAGC